GCGCGGGGUCAUUAGACGGAUUCUCUUAAAACGCCACAUUGAGCAAUCUAUGAGGUGACUUAGAUGAGUAACCGGACUGUUGACCCAGACCCUCCUCUGGUCUGGGUCUGAAGGAGCCCAGCUCCCCAUCUGACGGUCUCUGCCCCCCAGAUGAUCUUCAAGCUGACCCACCUGAACGUGGAGCAGUGGCUCAUGGUGCUGAAGCUCUCCUUCCCCGUCAUCCUCCUCGACGAGGUGCUGAAGUUCGUGGCCCGGACAUCCCGAAGGGAAAGUCUAACGGCCGAUCCAAGCUGGAGAGCAGCCGAGGCCAGCAGGGGGGCAGCAGAGAGCCGAGCGACAGAAGAGAGACGCGCUGUCGCUCAUUCAAGGCAUCACAAAAAAGAAGAAAAUGUGACGUGUGAAAGAUCGGUUAACGCAAAAAGCGAUCAUCAGGAGAACGACGGAAGAAAUUACCUGAAAAAACAGCUAAAGUAUUUUUGUGUAGUAUUGAAAUCAUAUAUAGGUGAGAGUUUAAACUAUUCUGUGAUUAUUCUAUUCUUAAAGAAUAAAGCUAUAUAUUAAAGAGUAUAUAUGUC